AACGAACGCUGGCGGCAUGCCUAACACAUGCAAGUCGAACGCCCUCUUCGGAGGGAGUGGCGCACGGGUGCGUAACGCGUGGGAACCUGCCCUUAGGUUCGGAAUAACUCAGAGAAAUUUGAGCUAAUACCGGAUAAUGUCUUCGGACCAAAGAUUUAUCGCCUUUGGAUGGGCCCGCGUUGGAUUAGCUAGUUGGUGGGGUAAAGGCCUACCAAGGCGACGAUCCAUAGCUGGUCUGAGAGGAUGAUCAGCCACACUGGGACUGAGACACGGCCCAGACUCCUACGGGAGGCAGCAGUGGGGAAUAUUGGACAAUGGGCGAAAGACCUGAUCCAGCAAUGCCGCGUGAGUGAUGAAGGCCUUAGGGUUGUAAAGCUCUUUUACUGGGGAUGAUAAUGACAGUACCUGGAGAAUAAGCUCCGGCUAACUCCGUGCCAGCAGCCGCGGU
rnacentral:rRNA from 1 species